rnacentral:sRNA from 1 species
UCCAUUGAAGGGCAGUGGUAGACGCGGUCCGAAUCUCUCCCUUGUAAAAUCAAAACAGAACAAAAAACAAUAUUGUGAUUGUUUAUCUCUAGCACACCAAUAAGUAUUUUCCUUGGAAGACACGCCAUUUUGCAUAUACUCUAUAUCCCGUCCAAGAGUGUCUCUUGGAAUCAUCCAUGAAUUAGAGCUCAAAUCGUAGAUUUGGAGUUUAUUAUCGAAAUCGUAAAUCCUCAAGAUUUUGUAGCUACCGCAUAAUUUGUCAAAUCCGAGAGAAAAUAUGUCUAAUCUCCCGUAAUUAUCUUUGGGAUUGAUCCAUUUUGGUUUUACCCCAUACGGGUUACAAACCACAAGCCUAGUGUCAUCAAUAGUUUUUCCUGAUACGGAUAACAAUAAACCAUUGCAGUGAAAGACUUGAGACACAUAGAAUCCCUGAGCUGUUUCGUCUCUGCUAAUAAGUCUACCUCUACACUUUAUAGAUAGAUCAAUGUUGUUGUGGAGAUUGACGCCAAUCAAAUAUACCCUACGAUUCAUUAUCAUUAGAAACUCUUUUCCCCGUUUUUUUGCAAACCUCUGAUCUUUGGUUAAAACGUACCACUUUUUGCAAGUAGAUCGCAUUGCUUUCAAAGAUGUCACGGGAGCCCUACAAAGAAUCUCCUCCACUAACUCAUCUGGAAGGUUGGACUGUUGGGUACAAAGCAAAGGUCCCACAUCGAAAGUUUAGAAAAAGAGUUUCUAUUAUAUAAGCCAAGUCCAACUACAACUAGUAUGAGGCAUUUUGGAAAGAAACCCAAUAACAAAUCCUUGCGGGCUUGAGGAUAUAAGCCUAAAGAGGACAAUAUCAUACUAAAUGGAAGUUGGAAUGGGUUUAGAAAGCCCAUUAAAUGGUAUCAGAGCCUAGGUUGAAAAAGUGGACUUAGGGCUUGGGCUAUGAUCGGUGUGGGAAAAUCUCUCAAACAUGACACGAUAAGAAUGUGCCUCAAGAAGGAGGCCCAAGUUCGUGGUCUUUGGUUUGAAGGGGAGAUUGUUGGGUACAAUCGAUCUUGGCAUGAUCUUAGAUUGCCGCAAGCAUGUGCUUUGCUUGCUUGGCCAUAUGGCUGGCUCUGGAUGCAAUCUCUACAACUAGUAUGAGGCCUUUUGGGAAGAAACCCAAUAACAAAUCCUUGCGGGCUUGAGGAUAUAAGCCCAAAGAGGACAAUAUCAUACUAAAUGGGAGUUGGAAUGGGCUUAGAAAGCCCAUUAAAUGGUAUCAGAGCCUAGAUUGAAAAAGUGGACCUUGGGCUUGGACUAUGAUCGGUGUGGAAAAAUCUCUCAAACAUGACACGAUAAGAAUGUGCCUCAAGAAGGAGGCCCAAGUUCGUGGUCUUUGGUUUAAAGGGGAGAUUGUUGGGUACAAACCAAAGAUCCCACAUCGGAAGUUUAGAAAAAGAGUUUCUAACAUAUAAGCCAAGUCCAACUCCAACUAGUAUGAGGCCUUUUGGGAAAAAAA